rnacentral:rRNA from 1 species
CAAUAGCGUAUAUUAAAGUUGUUGCAGUUAAAAAGCUCGUAGUUGGAUCUGUGGUGUGCGGUGGGCUCCGGGCACUUGUUGUCUGAGUAGCUCGCCGCUGCCAUCCUUGGGUGGAACCUGUGUGGCAUUAGGUUGUCGUGCAGGGGAUGCCCAUCGUUUACUGUGAAAAAAUUAGAGUGUUCAAAGCAGGCUUAUGCCGUUGAAUAUAUUAGCAUGGAAUAAUGAGAUAGGACUUUUUCGCUAUUUUGUUGGUUUGCGCGAAGAGGUAAUGAUUAAUAGGGACAGUUGGGGGUAUUCGUAUUCCAUUGUCAGAGGUGAAAUUCUUGGAUUUUUGGAAGACGAGCUACUGCGAAAGCAUUUACCAAGGAUGUUUGCAUUAA